rnacentral:lncRNA from 1 species
AGGUAUGUAUCUGUAUUAUAAUACGUAGAUGAACGCGUGACCCGGACGCGUUCACGUCGUUGAUAUACAAAUUUUAUGUUUCAUCGUUAAAAUUUCAAAUCCAACAGCCCAGCGCCGAACGACUCGCUAUUAUAAUUACGCAAAUUAACAUAAUCGAUAGAAACUCACUUUUAAUUUCAUUCAGAAAGAAUCUCAGAACGAUCAAACGUUACAUUCGUCUGUUUAAUUAAGUACUCACCGACUUAAGUCUUCGCAAUCGUCGGAGCAUCGUGAUGAUGGAUAGGCGAAAAAGAAGGAACGAGGAUUGGAAGAACUAAUGAUGUGAUAAAGAAAAAUUGACAACGCUUGAAAAAGACAAAAGACAAAAAAAAGAAAAAAAUUUCAUCAACGAUAACGACAAUCACUAAAAAAUACUGCUUUUACGUUGGUAGGUCAUUUUGUUAUAUUCGAUCUUUAUCACUGUCUCUAUGUCAUUACGUCUUAUCGUAUUUAACGAUAAGAAUAUGUACGACGAAUACAAUAUGGCAAUCAAA